rnacentral:rRNA from 1 species
UACCAGCACCCCGAGUGGUCGGGACGUUUUAUUGGGCCUAAAGCAUCCGUAGCCGGUUCUGCAAGUCUUCCGUUAAAUCCACCUGCUUAACAGAUGGGCCGCGGAAGAUACUAUAGAGCUAGGAGGCGGGAGAGGCAAGCGGUACUCGAUGGGUAGGGGUAAAAUCCGUUGAUCCAUUGAAGACCACCAGUGGCGAAGGCGGCUUGCCAGAACGCGCUCGACGGUGAGGGAUGAAAGCUGGGGGAGCAAACCGGG